UACGAAGGGGGCUAGCGUUGCUCGGAAUCACUGGGCGUAAAGCGCACGUAGGCGGAUUGUUAGUCAGGGGUGAAAUCCUGGAGCUCAACUCCAGAACUGCCUUUGAUACUGACGGUCUGUAGUUCGGGAGAGGUGAGUGGAACUGCGAGUGUAGAGGUGAAAUUCGUAGAUAUUCGCAAGAACACCAGUGGCGAAGGCGGCUCACUGGCCCGAUACUGACGCUGAGGUGCGAAAGCGUGGGGAGCAAACAGGAUUA
rnacentral:rRNA from 1 species